rnacentral:lncRNA from 1 species
AUUACGUAAACACACUUAGCAUGCAUUAAGAUGAUGAAUAAAUUCUUAUCUAGUGUCCUCGACUUCACAUGAACACGGGUAGAUUUAUUACGUGUCAAUACUCAUGAGAGAGAGGAGAAAAAUGCAGUAGUUCAAUCCAAUAUAAAGCUAUCAUGGGAUCCUUCUAAUUACUUAGGCGAGAUAUGAGAACAAGGAGAGAAACUUAUCAAAAUUUCAGAAAAUGAAGUAUUCAGGGGAUCUGUCACGACCCAAGCCUAGGGCCUAGACGUGACCGGCGAAUGGGGAACCCGAAGGAACCCCAAACAAGCCUCAUAGCGUAUUAUCACACAUCCUUGGUCGCUGAAGCAAUUAAAAUGACCAUAAGCGAUAAGCAUAAUCAAG